UACAGAGGGUGCGAGCGUUGUCCGGAAUCACUGGGCGUAAAGGGCGCGUAGGUGGCGAUCCAAGUCCAUGGUGAAAGCUCGAUGCUCAACAUCGAGUCGGCCACGGAUACUGGGUUGCUUGAGCACUGUAGGGGCAGAUGGAAUUCCGGGUGUAGCGGUGGAAUGCGUAGAGAUCCGGAAGAACACCGGUGGCGAAGGCGGGUCUCUGGGCAGUAACUGACGCUGAGGAGCGAAAGCGUGGGGAGCGAACAGG
rnacentral:rRNA from 1 species